UACGUAGGGUGCAAGCGUUGUCCGGAAUUACUGGGCGUAAAGAGUUCGUAGGCGGUUUGUCACGUCGUUUGUGAAACUCACAGCUCAACUGUGAGCCUGCAGGCGAUACGGGCAGACUUGAGUACUGCAGGGGAGACUGGAAUUCCUGGUGUAGCGGUGAAAUGCGCAGAUAUCAGGAGGAACACCGGUGGCGAAGGCGGGUCUCUGGGCCGAUGACUGACGCUGGAGGAGCGAAAGCCGUGGGGAGCGAACAGG
rnacentral:rRNA from 1 species